rnacentral:rRNA from 1 species
GAUGAACGCUGGCGGCGUGCUUAAUACAUGCAAGUCGAACGGAAAGGCCCUGCUCUUGCGGGUCUCUCGAUUGGCGAAGGGGUGUGAAAAACGCGUGUAACCCCUCCUUGUCUUUGGGAUAACACCAGGAAACUGCGGCUCUUAUCCGAUAGGAGCUCUUGCACCACGGGGGGGGUUGGAAAGUUUCGGCGGUUCGGGAUGGACUCGCGGCUUAUCAGCUUGUUGGUGUGGUAGUGGCUUACCAAGGCUUUGACGGGUAGCCGGCCUGAGAGGGUUACCGGCCACAAUGGGCCUGAGAGACGGCCCAGACGCCUACGGGAGGCAGCGGGGGGAAAUAUUGCACAGUAGGCGGAAGCCUGAUACGGCGGCGCCGCGUGCGGGAUGACGGCCUACGAGUUGUAAACAGCUUUCGAAUGUGACGAGGCGUGAGUGACGGUAAUGGGUAAGGAAGCACCGGCUAACUACGUG